rnacentral:lncRNA from 1 species
CAUAUACUUUUGAUUUAGAAAUUGCACACCCACUGUUGCCUGUUAAACAAAAGGUAUACUUGCUAAUAUUUGCAAGUUUUCUUAUCUUCAGUGAAGAAAUGAUGGCAUUUUUAAGAUAUAUCCUAUUUUUCAACUAUAGUCCUUCCACACCAUGGGACCCCCAGCUGGAAACCCUGAAACCCCCCAGUCCCUUUCUGUCUCACAUUAUCACCACAUUGUGUGGGCUUCACCUUGCACCCGCACGCCCCAUGAGACAUGAUGAUUUUUAAUGAUUUCAAGGCCAUUUUGAGUGAGCAGUAGUUGUCUUGGUAGUCUUAAAUAACUCAUGUGGAAUACUGCUUCUCUUCCAAAAUAUUUGAAGUACUAGGUUUCUCUAAGUCAAACUUCCUCAAGUUUGACCAAGUUUAUAGGAAAAAUUAUUGAUAUCCACAAAAUCAAAUAUAUAUAGUAUGAAGUUAUAUUUAUGAUUAAUUAAUUGAAACUAAUUUGGCAUUGUGGGUGUUGGUAUAUUUUUCUGUAGACUUGGUCAAACAUAAAGAAGUUUGACUUAUAAACCUAGAAAUUCAAGUAUUUUGUAACGGAGUAUAUAUCUCUUAACAUAGGAAACGAACAACAGAUGGUCAUGCUAAUGGUAUUGAAGAGGACAUUUGCAGUGUGCACAGUGGCAUAAAAAAUGACGUUUGCGGUGGCAUAGGCAUAAUAUCAGUGUUUCAGUUGAUCCAUUUGUUAACAGUUUCAGCUAAAAUGUCUUAAAACCAUUCUUUUUGAUUUUAACUAUUGUCAAUUAUUAUUGUAAUCUAGAAUACGCUUACUCAGAUGUUCCGGUGGGAGCAUGCUUGUUUUAAAGGUGCUGAACAUUUGUAGGUUUGUAAGCUCAUUUGAAUUUAAUCUGCCUUCCCAUUAUAGUGCUCUAAAUAUAGUACCUUUUCACGCGUAGGCAUCCAAUAAUCAAAUUCUGGGCAUGUUGCUGAGGAUGUGUGUUCUGCUGUGGAUCAUUAUGGAGGACCCAAUCAUCAAAUGCCUAGCGUAUAGGAAGGGAUAUCAGAUGUGUGUGGACUGUGGUGUCUUGGGUAGUUAGUGAAAUAUGCCAGAGGGGCUGCUCCGAUAUAGCCAGAAUGAUGCAGCCCUCAGGGAUGGCAUGCCACUGAAAGCUCCCUCUGUAAAGAAAUAUAAGAGAUUUACAGAGGGAGUAUCUCUUAAAAUGCACCAAGCAAAUUAAGCAAUACAAUAACGCUACAUAAUCAAAUGUGAUAAGCAUUUUGUAACACCCACAAGCUUUGUGCCCUGUUUCUAAGUUACGUUCUGAUGAUGGAACUGUUGCUGUCUAUACCCUUGUACUGUUUCUAACCUGAUUUGCUUAUUAUGUUGUUUCAAACCACCUGGCUGCUUGUUAUGUGUUUGAGACUUAUUAGAGUUGAUUUUGUGUAAAUGAAUUUGAUACUGUGAGUUUGUGGCACACUCAGAUGUUGUUUUGUGUUUGUCAUAACUUGGAAG